UGUGACACAACAGCAUGACGUCGAUUUCCUUGAAGCACUCCUACAGACGCAGUGCCAACAAAAGUGCCUCUGGUUCUUCAAGUUAUCCGUCUCCACACCAUAGUUCUGAGGAAGAGGCGGAAAAUUAUAUACUACAGAGCUGUGAGACAAGAGGAGGCUCUUUCCAUCAAGGAGGCUGAUAGAUGUUAAGGCCAAAACAGACAUAUAAGGUUUUGGAAGAAACCCUGGAGAAACAAUCAAGCUUCUUCAAACACAGCUGGACGGAGCGCAACUAUGAAUACAGGGGCCUCGAAAAGUGUUUUCCUAAGUUUCAAACUACAUUUAAAUUGUCACAAGUUUAUGAUGCGACAUAAUCAAAGUGAGCCACUUCAAAAGCAUAAGUCUGAUGCAUCAAGUCUACUGUAAAUGUAAUUAUACCAAGCUAUUGCUGAACGCUUGAUUCUGAUUGGCUAACAGAUGCUCCAAGUUGUUGAUUAAUUUUCUGAACUGCAUUGCUAUGAAGUAGUUCCAAGUUUGUUGACUGCAUUUCAGUUCUAUAUCACUUCACCAUAGUGAGAAUACAGCUCUUUGAUGCUAGGGAAAUCUAAUAAAAUCGACAAACAAUUUAGAUUAUUUUUUUAUUUUUUUCAAAGUCUCUUUCAAUAUCUGGAAAGCAUGGCAAUUUCAGCAAACAUAAUCAAUACAACUUUUUUUCCCCCAGUGUCUCUACUAGUCACCUUGCUAAUGAUAAAUGUAAUUACAAGUAGGGCUGUCGAUUUAAUGUGUUAUUUUGUGUGAUUAAUUAAACAAAAUAAUUACGGUUUAACAAAUUAAUGCAAUUGUAACAGGUAAAGGAUGGGCAAGGAGGUGGCGGGAACUGGCUGAACAGUAAACAACGUUAAAUGAUAAAACUCAACAUAAAACAGACAUAAACAAACACAGAUACUCAUGCAGUGCGGCCAUGUGUAUCUCUCUCUCCUGAACCUGCGUCUCCAGCUGCCCUUUAUCUCGCACUCCCGCUGAUUAGCUGAUUCAGAAGAAUCAGAAUCAGCUUUAUUGCCAAGUAUGCUUACACAUACAAGAAAUUUGUCUUGGUGACAGGAGCUUCCAAUGUACAACAAUACAAAAACAAUACAAAAACAGCAGCAAGACAGAUAAUAAUAGAAAAUAAAAAUAAUUAUACACAUACGUAUAUACACACACAGACACACACAUACAUACACACACACAUAUGUAGU